rnacentral:rRNA from 1 species
UACGGAGGGGGCUAGCGUUGUUCGGAAUUACUGGGCGUAAAGCGCACGUAGGCGGCUUUGUAAGUUAGAGGUGAAAGCCCAGGGCUCAACCCUGGAAUUGCCUUUAAGACUGCAUCGCUUGAACAUCGGAGAGGUAAGUGGAAUUCCGAGUGUAGAGGUGAAAUUCGUAGAUAUUCGGAAGAACACCAGUGGCGAAGGCGACUUACUGGACGAUUGUUGACGCUGAGGCGCGAAAGCGUGGGGAGCGAACAGG